UGUCCAAUGCGGGGAUCGAACCCGGGUCGUAGUGGUCGUAAACCAAACGGUUUAACCAGCCUUCCACCGACCCAUGACUGGGU
rnacentral:tRNA from 1 species